rnacentral:rRNA from 1 species
UACGUAGGGUGCAAGCGUUAAUCGGAAUUACUGGGCGUAAAGCGUGCGCAGGCGGCUUUGCAAGACAGAUGUGAAAUCCCCGGGCUUAACCUGGGAACUGCAUUUGUGACUGCAUGGCUAGAGUGCGGCAGAGGGGGAUGGAAUUCCGACGUGUAGCAGUGAAAUGCGUAGAUAUGCGGAGGAACACCGAUGGCGAAGGCAAUCCCCUGGGCCUGCACUGACGCUCAUGCACGAAAGCGUGGGGAGCAAACAGG